UACAGAGGUGGCAAGCGUUGUUCGGAAUUACUGGGCGUAAAGAGCGCGCAGGCGGUCGUUCAAGUCGCGUGUGAAAGCCCCCGGCUCAACUGGGGAGGGUCACGCGAUACUGAUCGACUCGAAGGCAGGAGAGGGUAGUGGAAUUCCCGGUGUAGUGGUGAAAUGCGUAGAUAUCGGGAGGAACACCAGUGGCGAAGGCGACUACCUGGCCUGUUCUUGACGCUGAGGCGCGAAAGCCAGGGGAGCAAACGGG
rnacentral:rRNA from 1 species